rnacentral:rRNA from 1 species
UAAAAGAAAUAAAUCUUGAUCAAUUUUGCUUGGGCACUACGAACACAUGUUUAAAACCCAAAGAACUUGGCGGUACUUUAAUCCACUUAGGGGAACCUGUCCUUUAAUUCGAUAAUCCACGACAAUCUUAUUUAUUUUAGAACUUCAUCAGCUUGUAUACCGUCGUCACAAGUUAACCUUAUAAAGAAAAAAAGUUAACAAUAAAAAACAUAAGAACUUUCUCACAGGUCAGAUCAAGGUGCAGCCAACAAAUAAAGAAGAGAUGGGUUACAAUUAAUAACUCUUACAUGGAAUUUUUAAAGAAAGCACAAAUGAAAUAGGACUUAAAAGUAAUUAAUAAAAACAAGUAUUAAUGAAUAAGGAAAUAAAGUGUGC